GAAUCAAUCUACGAACUUCACAAAAUUCGACGGUGUAAAAUUUAUUGAGAUUCGUUGAAAAACAGCUGAGCUAUGUCAGCUUGAAGUUACCGUUCCAACUUGCUUUUCAGGCUUGGUAUUUGGAGUGUUAAAGUGAAAAAUCUAUUCGAAAUCCACCAAAUAGGUCAAGUAUAUUUCGACUUGACAUCGUAUUGCUGAUGGGUAUUUAUUACCUUCUAAUAUUGAUUGUAAUUAAACCAAUUUUCGCCAACUUGUUGAUUUGUCUUUUCUGAAUUACAUAUAAAUUCCUUUUUUAUGUCAUUCUUAAAUAACUCCACGAUUGAUACAACAAAUUACGCCUCUAAGUAAUAGUUACUGAUACCUCUAUAUUGCCUUUUCCUGACAUAAGCAUAAUCAUAAUAAAUCAAACUAUGGAAUCAUAAUAAAUCAAAUCAUCAUUGUGCCUUUAUGGAUGGAUUGAAGCAGGGUGAUGCACUAUCUAAUGUGUUAUUUUCUAUAGCACUGAAACUUGCGCAAUGAAGAUUUGACACUCAGAGAAACGAAACCAUCUUCAAUUGGUCACACAAAUCCAACAUCUUCGAGACAUGGUCGUUGAAGAUUGAUGCAGAUUUUCAACUAGUAGGCGACGCAGACAUAUGAUUUAUGAAAACUAUGCCAAGUAUAUAAACACUAGCGGAUCGAUAAAAUACAGUAAAUCAUGGUAGGCUGGGCAUGUAACAAAAAUGUCAAAAAAGAACCAAGGUGUGAAUCCGAGAAGGUUUCGCGUGCAACGUGAGAAUUUAGAGGGAGUGGAAUAAGGUGACUCAAGAUCGAGUAUUGUGAAAUUUUACCAUUCAAUUGCUCCGGAGACGGAAUGUGGCCUAUCAAACUAAGUAAAUGGAACAGGAAACUAAUUAAGCUUGGCCGAAACUCAAGACAACUUGGGUCGAUCUGGAAUUGACAAGUGAAACGAAUACAUUUGAAUGAGCAACAAUAUUAAGCUUGCUCACAUCACAUCUCAAUUUAAGUAAUAUCCAAGAAUAUUCCAUUUAGGCGAGAAAAAUCUAUAUCGAAAGCGUGUUUAAUUUAUUCGUAACCAUAAUCGAUCGUGUUAUCAACGAAACACAAAGAACCAAAUCAAUUUGAGCCCCUGUUUAGGAACGAUUGGACAUUUUGAAUCACCGUAAAAUGAAACCAAUUCGGGUAGAACCUCAGCCAACUAUUUAAACCGCGCGAGUCUUUAGCUGAAUCCAACUAGAAAAAUCCGAAGGAUCUUUUCAUAAUGAAGACAUCAAUCUUUCUCAUCUGUGCCGCACUGGUGUUGUGUGUGGUUUCCGCCAAUGCACAAGCUUGGCGAUUCUCACCGGGCUUUUGGAGAAGAGUUCCAAGACUCAGAGACCAGAGAUCAGUUCACGAGUUCAUGAGGACGUUACACAAGAGACAGGGCCCACCACAAACUCCGCCACCGUGGAGCUCUGACUUCGAUCCGCAACCAUCCUUUUUUUGAAGCUCUGUAAAUGAUUAAACAAAUACAUGAACUUGUUGCGUUGAAUAAAUCUACGGAAUUCGUGGAUACGAACUUCGACAAAA